rnacentral:rRNA from 1 species
AAACUGAAGAGUUUGAUCAUGGCUCAGAUUGAACGCUGGUGGUAUGCUUAACACAUGCAAGUCGAACGGUAACAUUGGAGCUUGCUCCAGAUGACGAGUGGCGGACGGGUGAGUAACGCGUAGGAAUCUGCCUAGUAGUGGGGGACAACAUGUGGAAACGCAUGCUAAUACCGCAUACGCCCUACGGGGGAAAGCGGGGGAUCUUCGGACCUCGCGCUAUUAGAUGAGCCUGCGUUAGAUUAGCUAGUUGGUGGGGUAAUGGCUCACCAAGGCGACGAUCUAUAGCUGGUCUGAGAGGACGAUCAGCCACACUGGGACUGAGACACGGCCCAGACU